rnacentral:rRNA from 1 species
AGCAGCCGCGGUAAUUCCAGCUCCAAUAGCGUAUAUUAAAGUUGUUGCAGUUAAAAAGCUCGUAGUUGAAUUUCGGGAUCAAAUUGUCGGUCGUGCCUCGGUACGAACUGGUAUUAUUGGUUCCUCCCUUCUGAAGAACCGCGAUGUCAUUAAUUUGGUGUCGUGGGGAAUCAGGACUGUUACUUUGAAAAAAUUAGAGUGUUUAAAGCAGGCUUACGCUUGAAUACAUUAGCAUGGAAUAAUGAAAUAGGACGUUUGAUUCUAUUUUGUUGGUUUCUAGGAUCGACGUAAUGAUUAAUAGGGAUAGUUGGGGGCAUUAGUAUUCAAUUGUCAGAGGUGAAAUUCUUGGAUUUAUUGAAGACUAACUACUGCGAAAGCAUUUGCCAAGGAUGUUUUCAUUAAUCAAGAACGAAAGUUAGGGGAUCGAAGACGAUCAGAUACCGUCGUAGUCUUAACCAUAAACUAUGCCGACUAGGGAUCGGAUGAUGUUAAUUUUUUAAUGACUCA